rnacentral:rRNA from 1 species
GGAGUGGACGCAUCACUGGUGUUCGGGUUGUCAUGCCAAUGGCACUGCCCGGUAGCUAAAUGCGGAAGAGAUAAGUGCUGAAAGCAUCUAAGCACGAAACUUGCCCCGAGAUGAGUUCUCCCUGACCCUUUAAGGGUCCUGAAGGAACGUUGAAGACGACGACGUUGAUAGGCCGGGUGUGUAAGCGCAGCGAUGCGUUGAGCUAACCGGUACUAAUGAACCGUGAGGCUUAACCUU